GAUGAACGCUAGCUACAGGCUUAACACAUGCAAGUCGAGGGGCAGCAUGAACAUAGCUUGCUAUGUUUGAUGGCGACCGGCGCACGGGUGCGUAACACGUAUCCAAUCUGCCCGUUACUCGGGGAUAGCCUUCUGAAAGGAAGAUUAAUACCCGAUGGCAUUCAUUGGCGGCAUCGCUUUUGAAUUAAAGAUUUAUCGGUAACGGAUGAGGAUGCGUACGAUUAGCUAGUUGGCGGGGUAACGGCCCACCAAGGCUACGAUCGUUAGGGGUUCUGAGAGGAAGGUCCCCCACACUGGAACUGAGACACGGUCCAGACUCCUACGGGAGGCAGCAGUAAGGAAUAUUGGUCAAUGGGCGAGAGCCUGAACCAGCCAAGUAGCGUGAAGGAUGACUGCCCUACGGGUUGUAAACUUCUUUUGUUUGGGAAUAAAAGACGCUACGUGUAGCGUUCUGCAUGUACCUUACGAAUAAGCAUCGGCUAAUUCCGUGCCAGCAGCCGCUGUAACAC
rnacentral:rRNA from 1 species